GACGUAGGGCGCGAGCGUUGUCCGGAUUUAUUGGGCGUAAAGAGCUCGUAGGCGGCUUGUCGCGUCGGCCGUGAAAACCUGCAGCUUAACUGUGGGCUUGCGGUCGAUACGGGCAUCACUGGAGUUCGGCAGGGGAGACUGGAAUUCCUGGUGUAGCGGUGAAAUGCGUAGAUAUCAAGAGGAGCACCUGCGGCGAAGGCGGGUUGCUGGGCCGACACUGACGCUGAGGCGCGAAAGCUAGGGGAGCGAACGGG
rnacentral:rRNA from 1 species